rnacentral:rRNA from 1 species
CGCAAGAAUGUUUCCAUUAAUCAAGAACGAAAGUUAGAGGUUCGAAGGCGAUCAGAUACCGCCCUAGUUCUAACCGUAAACGAUGCCAGCCAGCGAUCCGGCUGUGUUCCUCAAAUGACACGCCGGGCAGCUUCCGGGAAACCAAAGCUUUUGGGUUCCGGGGGAAGUAUGGUUGCAAAGCUGAAACUUAAAGGAAUUGACGGAGAGGCACCACCAGGAGUGGAGCUUGCGGCUUAAUUUGACUCAACGCGGGAAAACCUACCCGGUCCGGACACAGGAAGGAUUGACAGAUUGACAGCUCUUUCUUGAUUCUGUGGGUGGUGGUGCAUGGCCGUUCUUAGUUGGUGGAGCGGUUUGUCAGGUUCAUUCCGAUAACGAGCGAGACUCUAGCCUACUAAAUAGACGUUCCGAUCCUCUGCGUCGGACGUUCUCUUCUUAGAGGGACAAGCGGCGUUUAGCCGCACGAGACAGAGCAAUAACAGGUCUGUGAUGCCCUUAGAUGUCCGGGGCCGCACGCGUGCUACAUUGAAGGGAUCAGCGUGUGCUUUCCCUGUCCGACAGGACUGGGUAACCCGUUGAAACUCCUUCGUGCUGGGGAUAGGAGAUUGUAAUUGUUCUCCUUGAACGAGGAACUCCCAGUAAGCGCGAGUCAUCAUCUCGUGCUGAUUACGUCCCUGCCUCUUGUACACACCGCCCGUCGCCACUACCGAUCGAAUGAUUUAGUGAGGUCUUCGGACCGGCGCUCGGACCGGCUUUCGGGUCGGGCCGGCGUGCCAGAAAGAUGAUCGAACUUGAUCAUUUAGAGGAAGUGAAAGUCGUAACUAAGGUCUCCGUAGGUGACCGGGA